rnacentral:rRNA from 1 species
UACGUAGGGGGCAAGCGUUGUCCGGAUUUAUUGGGCGUAAAGAGCGUGUAGGCGGCUUGGUAGGUCCGCUGUGAAAACUCGAGGCUCAACCUCGAGAUGUCGGCGGAAACCACUUGGCUAGAGUCCGGAAGAGGAGAGUGGAAUUCCUGGUGUAGCGGUGAAAUGCGCAGAUAUCGGGAAGAACACCCGUGGCGAAGGCGGUUCUCUGGGACGGUACUGACGCUGAGACGCGAAAGCGUGGGGAGCGAACAGG